CUGAGGGUGUCUGACUCACACUUGUCUCUAGAGUCGUCAUCUGGCUUUACUUGCCCUGCGUGCUCCCUGUCCUGGGUGGGUGUUUUCUUACUUCCUGGGGAAUAAGAGGAAUCCUUUCAGCGACAGGGUUAAAAAGUCCAGAACCCAGCCCACAAUCUUGUUACUGGGCAAAGGAGCCCAGACAGUGCACACAUGCACCUCCCCACUUCCCUUCCUCAUCAACGUCUCAGCAGAAAGGGCCACACGUCAUCCCACUGCUGUGUGGAGAGAUUAUUUUCCUGACACCAGGCCACCAGUCCUGCCACCUCUCUUCUGUACGCCGUCUCCUCCCCACCACUCAUCCGACCAGUAACCGUGGUGUAGAGCAACGGACUUAGCACGCAGCCCUGGGGUAUCCCUGUGCUCACAGUUCUGAUGCCUGAUGUCCGGUCUCCAACUCUGACUGACUGGGGUCUGUCUGUGAGGAAGUUCAGCACCCGGUUACAGAGGGAAGGUGUCAGUCCGAGGCCUGAUGACACUCCUCUGUCCACCAUGGUACAAGUUUUCUAUUCAUCUGAUUUUAACUCGUGGGUACUGAUUCAUCAGCUGCGGUAAAUGUGCACACUAUACCACUUUAUGUCUGUUUUGGCCUUUUAUCCUUAGUAGGCUUUUUGGAUUUUAUUCUCUAAUAUAAUUAUUGCAGUCAUUAGUGUACAGUAUAGGUGAUAGCACGCAACCUUGU